UACUAUGAGCUUGUGCAAAUGAUGCUAAUAUGAAUGAAUGAGAUGCACCCGUAUCAAAUAUAGCUCUAGCUCUAGUGCCUCUGAUCAGAAUAAUACCUGCCACCACGUCGUCGGGAACGAUGAUUGGUGGCUCCUCCACCUGAGUGGCAAAAACCCGCCCACUAGGUGCUCGAGAAGCCUCCGACUAAUGAGGCGCCGACGAUCGUCCAGCAGAUGUUGCGGGUGGCAGUCCCGCCAGCUGUCGCUGUGUGUACUGUACUGAAGCUGAUGACGGGGCUGGAGACACGUCGCCCGGGCACUCUCGGCCAAGGUGGCCCGCCUGGCCACACCGAUAGCAUCGCCCCUCUCACUGCGGGCAAGAUGUAACCCGGUGGUCUUCACCGCAGAUCACACAUGGGUAGGCGACACGGCUUUGGGUCUGACUCCUACCUCCCCGCCAAUGUGAUCGUGGAGGUCGCGGGGGUCGCUUAGAACUCGAUUGCCCC
rnacentral:lncRNA from 1 species